ensembl:snoRNA SNORD126 small nucleolar RNA, C/D box 126
AGUUUGCCAUGAUGAAAUGCAUGUUAAGUCCGUGUUUCAGCUGAUCAGCCUGAUUAAACGCAUGCUCUGAGCAGACU